rnacentral:tRNA from 1 species
GGGCUUGUAGCUCAGUGGUAGAGCAGUCGGCUUAUAUCCGACCGGUCGCAGGUUCGAUCCCUGCCGGGCCCACCA